rnacentral:rRNA from 1 species
GUGUCAGCAGCCGCGGUAAUACGUAGGGGGCAAGCGUUACUCGGAUUUAUUGGGCGUAAAGAGAAUUCAGGCGGUCAUGUAAGUCAGUGGUGAAAUACCUCGGCUCAACUGAGGAAUUGCCUUUGAUACUGCGUGACUCGAGGACAGGAGAGGAAGGCGGAAUUCCCGGUGUAGCGGUGGAAUGCGUAGAUAUCGGGAGGAACACCUGAGGCGAAGGCGGCUUUCUGGACUGGUCCUGACGCUGAUAUUCGAAAGCUAGGGGAGCAAACAGGAUUAGAUACCCUGGUAGUCCUAGCUGUAAACGAUGGAUACUAGAUCUUGCAUGAUUUUGCUUGGUCGAAGCUAACGCGUUAAGUAUCCCGCCUGGGGAGUACGGUCGCAAGGCUGAAACUUAAAGGAAUUGACGGGG